CCGAGAAACCUGGAGAAACACAAAGAUCGCGUCUCGUAACCCGGACCUGAAACCAAAUUCUAUUCUACGAACGACUGAAUAGGAAAGAAUUAAACAGAAGCUUCAAUAAUCUCUCCAAAUUACCCUUGUUAUUAAAAUUAACUGCUCUGAACAGAUUUUAAUGGCUUAAGAGGUUGCUUAAAAAUCAUCCUACAGCCAAAAUGGACUAGCGAGGCAGCCCGGCCAGGAGAUCACCGCAUGGUCGGACGCGGAAUUUGGUCUACAAAGAAACGAUGAGCUACAACCCCAGACGUGUAUGGAUUUUCUUCAUUAAAUUUCCGAGAGGCCAAGAAAAAACUCAGCGCAUUCCGAGCCAGCCAGGAGUCGAACCUGGAAUCUUCUGAUCCGUAGUCAGACGCGUUAUCCAUUGCGCCACUGGCCCCGCACACAAGUGCCUCCGGCUUUGAAAAUAAAGGGAGCCAUGGACAUCUCAUUGGCAGGACCUGUUCGUCGCGGGCCUCGGGAGACCAACUCCUGCUUCAUCGUUUGCUUACUACUCUUCCCC